GCAAGUCGAACGGUCAGUAGCMAUACUGAUAGUGGCGCACGGGUGCGUAACACGUAACUAACCUACCCAUCAUUGGGGGAUAGCCCGCCGAAAGGCGGAUUAAUACCGCAUAAGACUAUAGAGCGGCAUCGCUURGUAGUUAAAGAUUUAUUGAUGAUGGAUGGGGUUGCGGGUCAUUAGCUAGUUGGUAAGGUAACGGCUUACCAAGGCGACGAUGACUAGGGGAGCUGAGAGGCUGGUCCCCCACACGGGCACUGAGAUACGGGCCCGACUCCUACGGGAGGCAGCAGUAGGGAAUAUUGGGCAAUGGGCGAGAGCCUGACCCAGCCAUGCCGCGUGCAGGAAGAAGGCUUUGUGAGUCGUAAACUGCUUUUGACAGGGAAGAAUAAGCUUCACGUGUGAAGUGAUGACGGUC
rnacentral:rRNA from 1 species